GACGUAGGGUGCAAGCGUUGUCCGGAUUUAUUGGGCGUAAAGAGCUCGUAGGCGGCUUGUUGCGUCGACUGUGAAAACCCGCGGCUUAACCGCGGGCUUGCAGUUGAUACGGGCAGGCUAGAGUUCGGUAGGGGAGACUGGAAUUCCUGGUGUAGCGGUGAAAUGCGCAGAUAUCAGGAGGAACACCGGUGGCGAAGGCGGGUCUCUGGGCCGAAACUGACGCUGAGGCGCGAAAGCGUGGGGAGCAAACAGG
rnacentral:rRNA from 1 species